UAAAACUCACAUACACGCACACACACACACAGAGACAUGCACGCACACACAUCCACCACACCAUUGCUUACAUGCACACCCACUCAGAGUACACCAUUGCUAAAAUACACAAACACACAUUCACUACACAAACAUUGAACGCACUAAUGCUAAAAUGCACACACACACACACACACACACACCAAACCCAAAAUACUAAAAUUUAUCUUUCAUGCAUUUCGCUUUUAAGAAAAUGUUGUCGUUCCAUUUGUGUCCCAUUGCUGUGAUGUGGUAGAAUUCGAACCUUCAUACAAUCUCUCUCUCUCUCUCUCUCUUUCUCACUUCCGUAGUGCCUUCUUUAAUCUGUUUUCGUCUGCUGCUAGUUCUUCUACUUUGCCAACCAGUUUCCACAGUGUCUGUUGUAGUUUGCUUUGCCAUGCUAGAAAUAGCAACCAAACCCAAACUCCUUCAAAUCUCUCCUCGUAUGACUGUUUUGAAAAAAAAUUACAAAAAAAAAGGAAAAGAGAAAAAUUAAAUGAAGAACAUCUUAGACAUUCUAGUCCUAGAUAUAUAUAUAUACACACACACACA